GAUAUUAAGUCCGUUAUCAAUAGAGUGUGAAAUAAUCACUCCUGUGAAAGGCGGAGACUUAAUUCUCUAGCCUUGUGAAGUCAUGGGCGGUAACUACCAGCACCCACUUCUCCUUCAUCCUGAAAGCUUGUAGGUAGGAAAGUCUCUCUCUCCUUGACUGUUAUCUCAAGAAGAGUGUCACAUCUUUGUGGAGUCAAACUUUCACCAUGGCAUACACACCAUGAUUGUGGAGGAAAGAAUUGUGGAAAACUUGAAAAAAGUAUUUUGAAUAUGGCAUUUACAAAGUUAGGAGUAUUUGACACAGCAGGCAUGUGGGGAAAAAAAGAAAAGAUUAAAAAAAAAAAACAGAAUUAGGAUUAAAGGUCUCCAUGAAUGUUUUCCUAAACCAGUUGGUGGCGGUGAAUGGAUAAAGACAGUCUCCCCCUACCCUGUUUUAUUAAUAUGUGAAUAUUACCAAGUAAAAGGACACAUUCAAAAGAUCAGACUGUGGAUGGUUUCUUGAAGCAAAAGUUUGUUAAAGCAAAAUGGCAUUUUGGUUAGGAAUUCCUUUUCAGAAUCCAGUUGUAUCAGAGAACGUGAUUAAAUACCAUUUGCAGCUGGGUGCGAUGGCUCAUGCCUGUAAUACCAGCACUUUGGGAGGCUGAGACGGGUGGAUCACUUGAGGUCAGGAGUUUGAGACCAGCCUGACCAACAUGGUGAAACCUUGUCUCUACUAAAAAUACAGAAACAGCCGAGCGUGGUGGCACAUGGUAAUCCCGGCGGCGGAGGUUGCAGUGAGCCAAGAUAGCCCCACUGCACUCCAGCCUGGGCCAGAGCGAGACUCUGUCUCCAAAAAAAUAAAUACCAUUUGCUUGCCUGAUCUAAUUACAGACAUGUAAAUCAGAAUUCUUUGGUUAAUAUCAAAAUUUAAAAAUAAAACUGUCUAAUAGAGCCUAAUCUUCCUCUUAAACUAAGCAGCGUAGCGUCUCGUAUUCUUUUGUUGUGAUUAUAAACAGUUUCUUUUACCUUGAGGAAUCAAGUUUCAGAUAGGACUUUUUAUAAAUAAACUUGUUAGAUUUUUAUGUAAUUCCGUAGUUACUUUUUUUUUUCUUUUUUUUUUCUGAGAUGGAGUCUCGUUCUAUCACCCAGGCUGGAGUGCAGUGGCAUGAUUUCGGCUCACUGCAACUUCUGCCUCCCAGGUUCAAGUGAUUCUCCUGCCUCAGGCCUCCAAGUAGCUGAGACUACAGGUGCGCGCCACCACGCCCAGCUGAUUUUUGUAUUUUUAGUAGAGACGGGGUUCCACCAUGUAGGUCAGGCUGGUCUCGAACUCCUGACCUCAGGCGAUCUGCCGGCCUUGGCCUCCCAAAGUACUGGGAUUACAGGUGUGAGCCCCUGCAGCAGCCACUUUCAAAUUUAACUUUAAAAAUACAGUUUUCAUUGUAUUUAAUUUGGGGGGAUGCCUUCUGUUUGUGACCAGUGAUGCUGUUUUUCUGUUUAGUGAUGAAAGAUUUCCCCUUAAGAUAAAUAUAUUUAGGUUAAAAAGAGUCUUUUUGGCAAGACUAACACAAUAGUUGAUUGUAUCAUUUGUAUGGUACCAAGUAGUAGUUCAUUAUGCCGUUAUGUUUUAUUACUGAGCCAGUUGAUGUCUUAGUUGGUGUCUGCAAAAUUUCUCCCCUUUAAAUUUUCUGUCUUUCCCUUGUUAAUUGAUCUAUAUCUUGAGAGAUACUUUGAGACUAGGCAAAUCCUGUUUCUCCUCAAACUUUUGCCCACUAAUUUUAGCAUACAUUAGUAGAUCUUGUCUGCAGUGUUUUUCUGUUUUCUGCUUUUCUCUUUCCUUCUACAUUUUUAAACUGGAUUCUGUGAGGAAAAGAGUUUUCUUUUCCUUGUUUAUUGAUUUGGUUAUUUAUGUAAGUAUUGAGUCCAUGAUGCGUGUUUGUGCGUAUAAUCCUAUGGAUUAAAAUCUAAUGCUAUCCUUAUUUCGUAACCUUACUGUAAUCAUGAGAGUAUUGGAAAAACCCAAAUUGAGGGACAGCAUCCAGGACAUGAAAGAUGAAGAUAAGAACUCUAUAAGAUUGGAGGAAGAUUAAGAAGAAAUAGUACCUAAAUAUAAUGUGGGGUCCUGGAUAGGAUUCUAGAACAGAUAAACAGCAUCAGUGGGAAAAUUGGUGGAUUUCUAAUUAAGUUUGUAGAUUAGUUAAUGUUAUUGUAUCAGUGUUAAUUUCCUGUGGAUAAUUGUAUCUGCUUAAUGUAGAAGUGAGUAAGACAUAUGGGAUAAGGGAAAUUGUACCAUUUUUGUAGCUUUUCUUUGUCUAAAAUUAGUUUCUAAAAGUUUAAAAAGACCUCUGGGAAACCAUUUAACUUCUUGUGCCUCAGAUUCUCUCAUCUGAUUAAGUCAAGACAGCUUGUUUGGAUGAUCUUUAGGAUCUUUUUUUGGGUGAAAACAUUCUGUAAUUUUUGUAUGGGAGUUUUAAAAUUGAAAUUAUAACCUUACCUCCUUUUUUCUCUGUUUGGGUGUAGGAGGAAAAGGCUUCUCUUUUACAUCGUACUCAGGAAGAAAGAAGAAAGAGAGUAUAAAAUAGAUUUGUGUAGCCUUUGAUUUUAAAAAAUUCGUUAAUAGGCUGGGAGCAGUGGCUCAUACCUGUAAUCUCAGCACUUGGGAAGGCUGAGGCAGCUGGAUCAUUUGAAAUCAUAAGACACCUAGUUUUAUUUCAACAUAUGCUUGAUUUUUCCACCAAAAAGUAGUACAGUGAAGCAGCUUAAUUAUGUCUUGUGUUGUUAAUCAUUGUGAUUUAGAUAAACAGCGGUGCGCCUCGAAGCGCAGUGCUUCUUUUCUGUGCACGCGCGUGUGUAUGUGUGUGUGUAGUGUUUGUUGGUUUUGUCUUUAUUUUUGUUUUUGUUUUCUGAAACAAGGUCUCACUUUGUCACCCAGGCUGGAGUGCCGUGGCGUGAUCUCAGCUCACUGAAACCCCGCCUCCCAGGCUCAGGUGAUCCUCCUACCUCAGCACCCUUGAGUAGCUGGGACGAUAGGCGUGCCACCACACCUGGCUAAUUUUUUGUAAUUUUUGUAGAAACGGGGUUUUGCCAUGUUGCCUAGGCUGGUCUCGAACACCUGGGCCCAAGUAAUCUGCUUGUCUCAGCCCUCAGCCUCCCAGAGUGCUGGGAUUGCAGGUGCAAGUCACUGCGCCCAGCCCCUCGUGUGUUUUCUAACCAUUUCUUUGCCAUGUGUUUUCUAAGAACUGUGGUGUAUGUGGUGGGGAUGAAUGCUCUUUAGCUCUGAGAGAUUUAUAGCUUCAUAUCUUAUACUUUAAUAAUUUGGGAUAAAAUGAUUACACAGAUGACUUCAAAGCAGAAAAAUACAGAUUUGUUUUUCAUUGUAUGUGUAGAAUUAAAUAUAUAUACCGUCCAUGUGUUUGUAAACAAGUUUUUAUAAUAUUUUGGAAAAAAUAUUGAGGAUGUGCCUGGAGAGAGAAGUAAAUUUUGUCUAUAAUUUCAUAGCUGCUUUUAUUAUCAGUGAUAUUUUCAUUAUAAUCAAUAGAAUUAAUAAGCUAUUGAUUCAUGUUAAAAAUUGCAUUCUCUUUCAUGAAGUUCAAAUAACAUUGAUGAGCUUUUAAACAUUUCAGCACAUAGUGAUCUUAAAAUUAAAUGUAUUUUGAAAUCCUAUCUAGAUUAUAAACUAAUUUCCACUAGCUGUUGUUAGACACAUCAAAUAAAUAAAAUAGACUUGCCUUCGUCAGCUUCAGCAAUAUCAUUCAUAGUUCUGAAUCUUCUAAGAAUUCUUAGAACAUUUGUGAAUGAUAAUUGUUUCCCGGGAAAUAUGAGUACACUUGGAAGAAGCAUAUUCCACCAAAGUGAUUCUAAAUCCCUACCACGUUUUUAAAGUUUUCUUUUAAGCUUGUUAAGAAAUAGUAAGAGAAGGGGCUUCCUUUUCGAUCCGCCAUCUGCGGUGGAGCCGCCACCAAAAUGCAGAUUUCCAUAAAAACCCUUACGGGGAAGACCAUCACCCUCAAGGUUGAACCCUUGGAUAUGAUAGAAAAUGUAAAGGCCAAGAUCCAGGAUAAGGAAGGAAUUCC
rnacentral:lncRNA from 1 species